rnacentral:guide_RNA from 1 species
AUAUAUACCUACACAAAUUAUAAAGGGAGAUUGGGUGGUGUGAGAUAAUGA